UGUGAACCAAACCCCGCGAUUAUUAAAACGCCAAACUCCGCUGUUCCUUAUCCCGCCCUGUACAUCUGACGUGUGUUUACAAAACAAAAGCACUUUAUUGAAAGAAGAAAUAACGCGCAUCGACAUUUUGUGUCUAAGAAUAAAGAUCUUUUCUGGCUCAUACGGUCACAGAAAAGGUCCACUGAACAUCGGGAAUGUGCAACCAUUCAACGUCAUUGCAUCAAGACUUCAUUAAUCACCGAGUACAGAAUUCUGGAUAUGAUCAGACUAUCAUCUGUGUAAUAUGACUAAUCUGUGUCCAUGACCAAUGUGAUCUCCUCUCCAACCUCAUAUACCCAGAAGAGGCCGUGCUGUGGGUGGCUGCCAUGGACAGUGUCUUGUCACUGUUUAUAAAACAAAAUACCAAACACAGGUCAUGAAAUGUUGCGAUGGUUACAAUCAAGUCAGGAGUUACUGUGUCUUGUGUGUAAUAGUCUUUCCACAUUGUGUGACAUGUUGACUUGAGAUGUGAUUGGUCUCCUGUUAUUUAAAGAUUUAGAUGAGUGUUUUCUGGAUGAUUGAUGGGCAGACUGAUGGGCUUACUGUAUAAACAAUUUUGGCUGUUGGUCUGGAUACAUAGACUUGAACCCCAGUAGACCAGGGCACAGCUGUGCAGAACAGCACCCAUAAUUUUGCUAAUGUGACGCUAUACAACAGCCGUUUUUCGAUGGCUUCUGUGCAUCUAGAAAUUCCUUUAAUUUACACUUACCCCAGUUGCAUCCUUAUCUCCAUGGGAUACGCCCCCUCAGGGUA